rnacentral:rRNA from 1 species
AUUGAACGCUGGCGGCAGGCCUAACACAUGCAAGUCGAACGGUAACAGGAAGAAGCUUGCUUCUUUGCUGACGAGUGGCGGACGGGUGAGUAAUGUCUGGGAAACUGCCUGAUGGAGGGGGAUAACUACUGGAAACGGUAGCUAAUACCGCAUAACGUCGCAAGACCAAAGAGGGGGACCUUCGGGCCUCUUGCCAUCGGAUGUGCCCAGAUGGGAUUAGCUAGUAGGUGGGGUAACGGCUCACCUAGGCGACGACCCCUAGCUGGUCUGAGAGGAUGACCAGCCACACUGGAACUGAGACACGGUCCAGACUCCUACGGGAGGCAGCAGUGGGGAAUAUUGCACAAUGGGCGCAAGCCUGAUGCAGCCAUGCCGCGUGUAUGAAGAAGGCCUUCGGGUUGUAAAGUACUUUCAGCGGGGAGGAAGGGAGUAAAGUUAAUACCCUUGCCCAUUGACGUUACCCGCAGAAGAAGCACCGGCUAACUCCGG